rnacentral:rRNA from 1 species
GAUGAACGCUGGCGGUAUGCUUAACACAUGCAAGUCGAACGGACUCUUCGGAGUUAGUGGCGGACGGGUGAGUAACGCGUGAGAAUCUGGCUUUGGGUUCGGGACAACCACUGGAAACGGUGGCUAAUACCGGAUGUGCCGAGAGGUAAAAGAGAAAUUGCCUGAAGAUGAGCUCGCGUCUGAUUAGCUAGUUGGUGAGGUAAAGGCUCACCAAGGCAGCGAUCAGUAGCUGGUCUGAGAGGAUGACCAGCCACACUGGGACUGAGACACGGCCCAGACGACUACGGGAGGCAGCAGUGGAGAAUUUUCCGCAAUGGGCGAAAGCCUGACGGAGCAAUACCGCGUGAGGGAAGAAGGCUCUUGGGUUGUAAACCUCUUUUCUUAGGGAAGAACAAAAUGACGGUACCUAAGGAAUCAGCAUCGGCUAACUCCGUG